rnacentral:rRNA from 1 species
UGAAUACGAGAUGCUACGGCGUCGAAGCAGUCUAUGUCAUACUUCCAAGAAAAGCUCGCACUGUCAUAAACAAAUAAUGCCUGUACCAUAACCGACACAGGUGGGUAGGUAGAGUAUACUAAGGGGCGCGAGAUAACUCUCUCUAAGGAACUCGGCAAAAUGACUCCGUAACUUCGGGAGAAGGAGUGCCUUAUUUAUAAGGUUGCAAUAACAAUAUCCAAGCAACUGUUUAUCAAAAACACAGGUCUCCGCUAAGUCGUAAGACGAUGUAUGGGGGCUGACGCCUGCCCAGUGCCAGAAGGUUAAAGAAGUUGGUUAGCAUUCGCGAAGCUGAUAACUGAAGCCCUGGUGAACGGCGGCCGUAACAAUAACGGUCCUAAGGUAGCGAAAUUCCUUGUCGGGUAAGUUCCGACCCGCACGAAAGGCGUAAUGAUUUGGAUACUGUCUCGGAGAGGGGCUCGGUGAAAUAGACUUGUCUGUGAAGAUGCGGACUACCUGCACCAGGACAGAAAGACCCUAUGAAGCUUUACUGUAACUUGAGAUUGAAAUUGGACUUUACUUGCGCAGUAUAGGUGGGAGGCGUUGAUAAUAUUCUUGCGGGAUUAUUUGAGCCAUCAGUGAGAUACCACUCUUGUAAUGUUAGAUUUCUAACUUUGUAUCAUUAUCUGGUCAAGGGACAGUUUCAGGCGGGCAGUUUGACUGGGGCGGUCGCCUCCUAAACGGUAACGGAGGCGCACAAAGGUUUCCUCUGAACGGGUAGAAAUCGUAUCUAGAGUGUAAAGGCAUAAGGAAGCUUGACUGUGAGACCUACAAGUCGAGCAGGGACGAAAGUCGGUCUUAGUGAUCUGACGGUGCUGAGUGGAAAGGCCGUCACUCAACGGAUAAAAGUUACUCUAGGAUAACAGGCUGAUCUCCCCCAAGAGUUCACAUCGACGGGGAGGUUUGGCACCUCGAUGUCGGCUCAUCGCAUCCUGGGGCGGUAGUACGUCCCAAGGGUUGGGCUGUUCGCCCAUGAAAGCGGUACGCGAGCUGGGUUCAGAACGUCGUGAGACAGUUCGGUCCAUAUCCGGUGUAGGCGUUAGAAUAUUGAGAGGAGCCUUCUUUAGUACGAGAGGACCGAGAAGGACUUACCUCUGGUGUACCAGUUAUCGUGCCAACGGUAAACGCUGGGUAGCUAUGUAUGGAGUGGAUAACCGCUGAAAGCAUCUAAGUGGGAAGCCCACCUCAAGAUAAG